AAGGGUAUAGCUCAGUGGUAGAACACUGUGCUUAGCAUGCACAAGGUCCUGGGUUCAAUUCCCAGUACCUCCA
rnacentral:tRNA from 1 species